rnacentral:rRNA from 1 species
UACGUAGGGACCGAGCGUUGUCCGGAAUCAUUGGGCGUAAAGAGCGUGUAGGCGGCUCGAUAAGUCUGCUGUGAAAAGUCCAGGGCUCAACCCUGGAAGGCCGGUGGAAACUGUCGGGCUAGAGUCCGGAAGAGGCGAGUGGAAUUCCCCGGUGUAGCGGUGAAAUGCGCAGAUAUCGGGAGGAACACCAAUGGCGAAGGCAGCUCGCUGGGACGGUACUGACGCUGAGACGCGAAAGCGUGGGGAGCAAACAGG